CCUACGGGUGGCAGCAGUGAGGAAUAUUGGUCAAUGGACGCAAGUCUGAACCAGCCAAGCCGCGUGCAGGAUGACGGCUCUAUGAGUUGUAAACUUCUUUUGUAAGGGGAUAAAAUCAUUCACGAGUACCUGUCUGUAUGUACCUUACGAUAAAGGAUCGGCUAACUCCGUGCCGGCAGCCGCGGUAAUACGGAGGAUCCUAGCGUUAUCCGGCUUUAUUGGGUUUAAAGGGGGCGUAGGCGGUAGGUUAAGUCAGAGGUGAAAGCCCGGGGCUCAACUUUGGAAUGGCAUUUGAAACUGUGAGGCUAGAGAGGAGUAGCGGUAGGCGGAAUGCGUGGUGUAGCGGUGAAAUGCUUAGAUAUCAUGCAGAACACCGAUUGCGAAGGCAGCUUACCGGGCUACAACUGACGCUGAGGCACGAAAGCGUGGGGAGCAAACAGGAUUAGAUACCCUAGUAGUC
rnacentral:rRNA from 1 species